UGUUUCCGUAGGUGAACCUGCGGAAGGAUCAUUGUCGAAACCUGCUCCGCAGAACGACCCGCGAAUGUGUCCACAAACACGUGGACCGCGGGGGCCUUCGGUCCCCCGUCGCACCGAAAGGUCGGGGAAGCAGGCUGGGCCUCGCCCCGCCGGCUCUCCGCGGCCCUAACAACCCCGGCGCGAGAAACGCCAAGGAACAUGAAACAAAAAAGAGCGCGCUCCCGUUAGGGACGCGUAGUCCUCUUUCGAGAACCAAAACGACUCUCGGCAAUGGAUAUCUCGGCUCUCGCAUCGAUGAAGAACGAAGCAAAAUGCGAUACUUGGUGUGAAUUGCAGAAUCCCGCAAACCAUCGAGUCUUUGAACGCAAGUUGCGCCCGAAGCCAUCCGGCCGAGGGCACGUCUACCUGGGUGUCACGCAACCGUCGCCCCAACCCCUCACCCCGUGCGGUGGUGUAGGGGGCGGAUCCUGGCCUCCCGUGCGCUCCUCGCUCGCGGUUGGCCCAAAAGCCGAGUCCUCAGCGAUGAUCGCCACGGCUAUCGGUGGUUGAAAGACCCUCGGACAGAGCCGCGCGCGGCCAUCGGCCACCGGGACCCCGAGACCCCUGCGCGUCCCCUAGGGAACGCCUCCGACCGCGACCCCAGGUCAGGCGGGAACAACCGCUGAAUUUAAGCAUAUUAAUAAGC
rnacentral:rRNA from 1 species